CAAUAGCGUAUAUUAAAGUUGUUGCAGUUAAAAAGCUCGUAGUUGGAUUUGUGGCGUACGGUGUGUUCCGGGCACUUGUUGUCUGAGUAACCUGCUGUUGCCAUCCUUGGGUGGAACCUGUGUGGCAUUAGGUUGUCGUGCAGGGGAUGCCCAUCAUUUACUGUGAAAAAAUUAGAGUGUUCAAAGCAGGCUUAUGCCGUUGAAUAUAUUAGCAUGGAAUAAUGAGAUAGGACUUUUUUGCUAUUUUGUUGGUUUGCGCAAAGAGGUAAUGAUUAAUAGGGACAGUUGGGGGUAUUCGUAUUCCAUUAUCAGAGGUGAAAUUCUUGGAUUUUUGGAAGACGAACUACUGCGAAAGCAUUUACCAAGGAUGUUUUCAUUAA
rnacentral:rRNA from 1 species